rnacentral:rRNA from 1 species
CGGACGGGUGAGUAACGCGUGGGUAACCUGCCUCACACAGGGGGAUAACAGUUAGAAAUGACUGCUAAUACCGCAUAAGCGCACGGUACCGCAUGGUACAGUGUGAAAAACUCCGGUGGUGUGAGAUGGAUCCGCGUCUGAUUAGGUAGUUGGUGAGGUAACGGCCCACCAAGCCGACGAUCAGUAGCCGACCUGAGAGGGUGACCGGCCACAUUGGGACUGAGACACGGCCCAA